UACGGAGGAUGCCAGCGUUAUCCGGAAUGAUUGGGCGUAAAGCGUCCGCAGGUGGCGAUGUAAGUCUGCUGUUAAAGAGUCUAGCUCAACUAGAUAAGAGCAGUGGAAACUACAUAGCUAGAGUACGUUCGGGGCAGAGGGAAUUCCUGGUGUAGCGGUGAAAUGCGUAGAGAUCAGGAAGAACACCAGUGGCGAAGGCGCUCUGCUAGGCCGUAACUGACACUGAGGGACGAAAGCUAGGGGAGCGAAUGGG
rnacentral:rRNA from 1 species